rnacentral:rRNA from 1 species
UAGUCCUAGCCGUAAACGAUGGGCACUAGGUGUUGGAGGAGUCUACCCCUUCAGUGCCGCAGCUAAUGCAUUAAGUGCCCCACCUGGGGAGUACGAUCGCAAGGUUGAAACUCAAAGGAAUUGACGGGGGCCCGCACAAGCGGUGGAGCAUGUGGUUUAAUUCGAUCCAACGCGAAGAACCUUACCUGGGCUUGACAUGCAGGGGACAGGUGUAGAAAUACACCCUUCUUCGGACUCCUGUACAGGUGCUGCAUGGCUGUCGUCAGCUCGUGUCGUGAAAUGUUGGGUUAAGUCCCGCAACGAGCGCAACCCCUGUCUUCAGUUGCCAUCAGGUUAUGCUGGGGACUCUGGAGAGACUGCCGGUGACAAACCGGGAGGAAGGGUGGGGACGACGUCAAGUCAUCAUGGCCCUUACGCCCAGGGGCUACACACGUGCUACAAUGGUCGGUACAAUGGGCAGCGAUGCUGCGAAGUGGGAGCGAA